UUGUAAUAAAAUCAAAAUUGAAUUUAAUAAAUAUCUACUGAAUGUCUUUAUGCCAUUCUAAAUAAAUGUGACCCAUUAGACUUCUGAAAUAUUUAAAACAGCAUAUAGUGGAAAGAAAGAGAAAGAGAGUAAGAAAUAAAAAGCACCAACAAACUAGGAUGACCCCUAGUCAAUUGUAACCUAAAUCACCUGAAUCCAGGGCAGAAUUAAGCGAGUUCCCUUAAAGGGACACUCCCUGGUUUAUGGACUUCUCAGGUCCAGGUGGAGACACGCGUCUCAAUCCAUCUCGAACCACAGGACAAACGUUUCCGGGCCUCUCAAGGAGCAGGGAAGGCAGGCAGGGCAGCAGCUCCUCCCGGCGUCGGAGCGGAGUGAGCAUCGCCAGCUGGGCCGCGGCCACUGAAGAUAGAGGCCCCAGGCCCCAGCGUGGGGGCAGGGAAGAAAGUUGUGUGGUACAAGAGAGUUUCAGGAAACCGAAACCUAGGCGGCCGGUGUGGGCGCCAGUCCCCUGAGGCGUAGGCACCACCGGGCGAGCGGAUUCCUGAGCAAGAACUGCAGCAGCAAUAGAAAUUGCCAAAAGCAGUUGAUCAAGGAGGAGUGAUCACAAAAUACAGUGAAUGCUUAAAUGAAAACUUCAUUACAGUUUUACAGGAUGAGUCCAUGAUCAUAGACUGACACCACCAACUUCUGAAUUCCUACUCAGAAGUGCAGCAUAGGGAAUGGAUCAAGUCCAAAAGGUGUAAAUGUCAGGAUAAGGCAAGGUAGAUGAAUAAGGACUAUCCCAUGAAUGUGACUGUAUAAUUCUA
rnacentral:lncRNA from 1 species